rnacentral:rRNA from 1 species
UAUGUAGGCAGCAAGCGUUGUUCGGAGUUACUGGGCGUAAAGGGUGCGUAGGCGGCCCUGUAAGUAUGGUGUGAAAUCUCCCGGCUUAACUGGGAGGGUGCGCUAUAGACUGCGGGGCUCGAGUGUGGGAGAGGAAAGUGGAAUUCCUGGUGUAGCGGUGAAAUGCGUAGAUAUCAGGAGGAACACCGGUGGUGUAAACGGCUUUCUGGACCAUAACUGACGCUGAGGCACGAAAGCGUGGGUAGCAAACAGG